rnacentral:rRNA from 1 species
CGCACGGGUGAGUAACACGUAGGUAACCUAUCCUCGAGUGGUGGAUAACAUCCCGAAAGGGGUGCUAAUACAGCAUAAGACCACGGUCUCGUAAGGGACAGAGGUCAAAGCGGGCCAAUCCAUGGAAGCUCGCGCCCGAGGCUGGGCCUGCGGGGCAUCAGCUAGUUGGUGGGGUAACGGCCUACCAAGGCUUAGACGCCUAGCUGGUCUGAGAGGAUGAUCAGCCACACUGGAACUGAGACACGGUCCAGACUCCUACGGGAGGCAGCAGUGGGGAAUUUUUGCGCAAUGGGCGAAAGCCCUGACGCAGCGACCCCCGCGUGAGUUGAUGAAGGCCCCUCCGGGUUUGUAAAGCUCUUGUGGGGAGGGAAGAAAUAAGGUAUGGGUUUAAUACCCCAUUGCCCGAUGACGGGUACCUCUCUUUAGCAAGCACCCGGCUAACUCCUGUGCCCAGCAGCCCGCGGGUAAGACAGAGGGGUGCAAAACGUUUGUUUCGGGAAUCACCUGGGGCGUAAAAGCGCGGUGUAGGCGGCUAUGCAAAGUCGGGGUGGUGAAAAGCCCCUGGGGCCUCAACCGGAGGAAAGUGCACCCCGAAACUGCAUAGCUAGAGUCCCGGGAGAGAGAUGGGUGGAAUUUCUAGGUUGUAGAAGGGUGAAAUUUCGUAGAUUUCUAGAGGAACACCGGGUGGGCGAAAGCGGCCAUCUGGGACCGGGUACUGACGCUGAGACGCGAAAGCGUGGGUAGCAAACAGGAUUAGAUACCCUGGUAGUCCACGCCGUAACGAUGGGUGCUAGGGUGUCGCGG